rnacentral:rRNA from 1 species
UGGGGAAUAUUGCACAAUGGGCGCAAGCCUGAUGCAGCCAUGCCGCGUGUAUGAAGAAGGCCUUCGGGUUGUAAAGUACUUUCAGCGAGGAGGAAGGCGUUGUGGUUAAUAACCGCAGCGAUUGACGUUACUCGCAGAAGAAGCACCGGCUAACUCCGUGCCAGCAGCCGCGGUAAUACGGAGGGUGCAAGCGUUAAUCGGAAUUACUGGGUGUAAAGCGCACGCAGGCGGUCUGUCAAGUCGGAUGUGAAAUCCCCGGGCUCAACCUGGGAACUGCAUCCGAAACUGGCAGGCUAGAGUCUUGUAGAGGGUGGUAGAAUUCCAGGUGUAGCGGUGAAAUGCGUAGAGAUCUGGAGGAAUACCGGUGGCGAAGGCGGCCCCCUGGACAAAGACUGACGCUCAGGUGCGAAAGCGUGGGGAGCAAACA